AUUGAACGCUGGCGGCAUGCCUUACACAUGCAAGUCGAACGGCAGCACGGGAGCAAUCCUGGUGGCGAGUGGCGAACGGGUGAGUAAUAUAUCGGAACGUGCCCAGUCGUGGGGAUAACGUAGCGAAAGCUACGCUAAUACCGCAUACGAUCUAAGGAUGAAAGCGGGGGAUCGCAAGACCUCGCGCGAUUGGAGCGGCCGAUAUCAGAUUAGCUAGUUGGUGAGGUAAAGGCUCACCAAGGCGACGAUCUGUAGCUGGUCUGAGAGGACGACCAGCCACACUGGGACUGAGACACGGCCCAGACUCCUACGGGAGGCAGCAGUGGGGAAUUUUGGACAAUGGCGCAAGCCUGAUCCAGCAAUGCCGCGUGCAGGAUG
rnacentral:rRNA from 1 species